UGUCGUCACUAAUAUAUUUUUCAAUUUUUUUUCAUUAAUUUGGGCUUGGAUAUUGUUUGCUAUUGCAGGUUUGUUGUGGGUUAUAAACUUUAGGGCUAGCUCGGUGGCCCUUUUGAAUCUUUUUAUCUGAAAUUACAUUUUGAAUGGGCUUUUUCUCCCAUCCUUUAUUUCCAAACAAAAUUAAAACAAAGAAAGUGGGAGAAAUCCUGCCUCUUCAGCCUCGCUUCUCGGUUGCUUACAAAUGUCCAAGCAGUCUUAGAGACAAUUUCAGCUUAAAUCAUUUCACAUUAAAAAAAAAAAAAUCAAAUCAUCAAAUAUAUAGAUGAGUAUAAGCUGUAAACGGUUUCUUCUUUAAAAACACUAAUAGGAAGCUAACUGCAUUGACUUUGAUAAAGCUUUAAAGCAUUCAUAAUCACAUAGCUCCCCAUUUGCACAUGAGAGGUCAUAGGGAUAGUCAUGAAUUUCCUAUCAGACAAGAAGCAUUUUAAAUGAGACUACAUGCAUCUACCAAAAAAUGAGAGGACAUGCGGAUGACUGCUUAUAAGUUAUGAGUGUGCAAACAUCCCAUUAAAUCUGCAAAAAAAUGCAGGUCUUUUCCACCAUCCCAAACCCCACAUGAUGUUGGUGCCAUAGUUAGCGAUCCAAGCUGCAAAUUGGUUGCCUUCCUCGAAAGAAAAGAGAGUGAGCUGCAGCAAAUGGAAUGAGGUCUGCUAAAGAAUGGGAGUCCAUUGGUUGGUCUUUUUAGAAGGAUUUCUCAAAGAGUUUUGGGUGUUAUAAUGGUGGAGAUGCAAUGCAAAUCGUCGUUAUUAGUGAAAAAUGUCCUACAAAACACAUAAAAUACAUGUUUUCCAACAAAGAUACCAAUUUCUAGUGGGAGAACUUGUUUACCAAAAGGCUCUCUUAAUUGAUUUGGGAUAUGUUUGUUCAUAUGAUGUUUUGGAAAGCUUGUGUAUUAGUAUUUAGUAGCUGACUUUAAUCAUAGCAGAAGCUGAAAUCUUCAAGCUUUCUGAGAUGUUUUAGUGUACCUUUGAGAUGCUAUCAGAAAAUAGAUUUUCCGGAUAGGUUCGUUUGGCAACUCAGUCAUUGUUGGGCAUUCACAAAUCACAAUGCCUUUAACUAAACGCCUUAUUAGGAAGAAAAAUAAACCUUUUUAGUGAAAUCUUGCAUGGAGAUUGGUGCUGCUGGCAAUGACCACCACAUAUGGCAUUCUUCUCUUGAUCUGAUGAAGAAGUCAUUCAUCCUUAAAAUGAGGCUAAAAGCCAUGUCAUUAUAGAACUUAAAACCUCAAAAUCUUUCUAGAGUAUUGUCGAGAUGAAGUUGGGGUGACUGCAAAACUUCAUAUUCAGAAAAAGAAUAUAUGUAGGUUAUAGGAUCUCAAAAUUAGUUGAAUAUAGAUUAUAGGAACACCAUGGCAAACUUUUGCGUUCGAAAUUUGCUUAACAGGGCAAAGGAGAUUCAUCAAAAAGAUAGAGAGAGAGGGAGUCAAAUCAAACAUUGUUGGAGAGAAACAUAUCAUGCUGCUGAUAUGUUGGUCUCUAAACCAAAGCAAGUCUGAGAGUAAAUUUAUAAAAAUUGUCUGUGCAGUAUCGUGCAGAAAUACCAGAGAACUAGAAGCCUCUUCCCUCAAUCUCUACUUCCAAGUCAAUCCUACUGCAUAUGCAAUACCUAUAAACUUGGCCUCCAGUAAAAGGCUUUGUAUUUGCAAAGUAUCAAAGUUUUGCUG
rnacentral:lncRNA from 1 species